AUAUCAAAUAAAGCAAUAGUUGGUUGAUGGCAUACUAAAAUUGUACCUAUAAUAACAACAUCUAAAGACUCUAUCUUUGACCUACUAAGUACGACAUAUAAUAAUAUCAUCCACCACCUAGUUAGGUGUUUGAUCGACCACCUGCCCUACCUAUCUGAGGACCUACUCGAGAACCCUAAGGACCACCCUUACGACCUUACAUACCUGCUCUAAUUGGGGCGGCACUACUCUAAACAGAUAAACGCUCUAUGUUGCAGGAACAACUACCCCACAAUGGAGAAAUUCUCAAGAACAAUGAUCGAUGGCUCCACAAUCAUAGCAUCCCCUGCAUUCCACACUCUUUUCAAAAGAUUC
rnacentral:lncRNA from 1 species